ACACCAGACCCGCUCAGGAAAUUGGGCAGGGCUCGGUUUUACUCACCGACACCCUCUACUCGGGCCUAAUGGAAGAGCAAGCCCAGAUUGCUGCCCAGUUCCAAGCGAAGCCCAGUCCUGACCGAAGCCCGCAGUCAUCACAGCCCAUUUGCAAACAAAGUCAGGGCCGAGACCAUCAAAGAGGCCCAGUCCCACGCCCAAGCCCAAUUCCACCCCCAAGCCCAGAUGCCUCUGCUGCACGUAUUUUUCCAAGGAGAAAGAGAAGGAAUGAUACUUCCAUGGACGAAUUCCUACGACUCUCAGCACCUUAUGCUAGAAUCUUCAAUAAGAUGGCACGAACCAUAGGCGAGGCAAUGCAGGAGGACUGGAACGCAUAGCACUUCAACAAUACUGGAGGGGACUUUAAUCGAAAUCAAUCGAUGGCUCUCUAACUUAGCCCGAUGCCUUCACACCAAUACACUUUGCAACCAUAGUUGGACUAUGAAGACACUAACAUGGAGCAAGAAUCAACCCCCGAACACAUCCAAAUGGUCGAGGAGGCGGGCCUUAUCAAGCCCCCAAAGAAGCCAUGAGUCUACUUGCAUGGAACUGUUGGGGGAUAAGAGGAGACCCGACAGUUCGAGCUCUCUGUCUCCUCACUCGGAAGCAUCGCCCUAGCAUAAUUUUCUUAUCAGAGACAAAAUGCAUUACUAGCCAAUGCAAUAAAAUAGCAAAACGUUGCAACCUGGACGACAUCUUCACAGUCGACUCCUCCAAUGCAGCAGGAGGUCUUUGUCUCCUCUAGAACUCUGAAUUAAAGGAAAACAUGUCGAUCUCCAUGAAACCAUCAAGAGCAUCAAGAACCACUUUGCGGAUCAUAUCAGGGAUGGACAUGGAGGACACAUCGGAAAUGGGAUCCCUUUCGAAGCACCUCUACAACUCCAAGCUUCAAAAAUUCCUUCUGGGUCGGAAUGGAACAUCAUCAGUUCGGAUGCUGCAUGGAAUAGCAGCAGAUCAUGCCUUGCUGGAGUCCUAUAGCAACCGAAGACACCGCCUUUGCUCUCAUGGUUCCAAGUCUCUCAUGAAGACUCACCUCUCCAAGCUGAGGCCAAAGCUGCACUCCUUGCCCUCAACAUUGCAGCAGAAAGAGGAGCCACAAAGAUCUGGCUUCGUUGCGACGCUUUGCUACUAGUGGAAGCCAUUUUGAACCCACGCUCUUCCCCAUGGGAAAUUAGAAACAUAGUCUCUGAUAUUAUCUUGA